rnacentral:rRNA from 1 species
CGGGGACAGUGUCAGGCGGGCAGUUUGACUGGGGCGGUCGCCUCCUAAAGAGUAACGGAGGCGCCCCAAGGUUCCCUCAGAAUGGUUGGAAAUCAUUCGAAGAGUGCAAAGGCAUAAGGGAGCUUGACUGCGAGACCUACAAGUCGAGCAGGGACGAAAGUCGGGCUUAGUGAUCCGGUGGUACCGCAUGGAAGGGCCAUCGCUCAACGGAUAAAAGCUACCCUGGGGAUAACAGGCUUAUCUCCCCCAAGAGUCCACAUCGACGGGGAGGUUUGGCACCUCGAUGUCGGCUCAUCGCAUCCUGGGGCUGAAGUAGGUCCCAAGGGUUGGGCUGUUCGCCCAUUAAAGCGGUACGCGAGCUGGGUUCAGAACGUCGUGAGACAGUUCGGUCCCUAUCUGUCGUGGGCGUAGGAAAUUUGAGAGGAGCUGUCCUUAGUACGAGAGGACCGGGAUGGACGUACCGCUGGUGCACCAGUUGUUCCGCCAGGAGCAUGGCUGGGUAGCUACGUACGGACGGGAUAAGCGCUGAAAGCAUCUAAGCGUGAAGCCCCCCUCAAGAUGAGAUUUCCCAACUAGUAAGACCCCUUGAAGACGACGAGGUAGAUAGGUUGGAGGUGGAAGUGCAGCAAUGCAUGGAGCUGACCAAUACUAAUCGGUCGAGGGCUUAUCCAAA